GAUGAACGCUGGCGGCGUGCCUAAUACAUGCAAGUCGAGCGAACAGAUAAGGCGCUUGCUCCUUUGACGUUAGCGGCGGACGGGUGAGUAACACGUGGAUAACCUACCUAUAAGACUGGGAUAACUUCGGGAAACCGGAGCUAAUACCGGAUAACAUAUUGAACCGCAUGGUUCAAUAGUGAAAGGCGGCUUUGCUGUCACUUAUAGAUGGAUCCGCGCCGUAUUAGCUAGUUGGUAAGGUAACGGCUUACCAAGGCAACGAUACGUAGCCGACCUGAGAGGGUGAUCGGCCACACUGGAACUGAGACACGGUCCAGACUCCUACGGGAGGCAGCAGUAGGGAAUCUUACGCAAUGGGCGAAAGCCUGACGGAGCAACGCCGCGUGAGUGAUGAAGGUCUUCGGAUCGUAAAACUCUGUUAUCAGGGAAGAACAAAUGUGUAAGUAACUGUGCACAUCUUGACGGUACCUGAUCAGAAAGCCACGGCUAACUACGUG
rnacentral:rRNA from 1 species